rnacentral:sRNA from 12 species
AGCCCUGCCUGGGGGCUGCCGCAAGGCGCUAUCAGGACGUGGAUUAGUCGGGCAGUGCCACGGUUCGAGAAAACCCCGACAGCC